GCGUAUCGGUACAAGAAGCCAACCCGAGAGCAGUCUGCGCGCAGCCUGUGCAGUGUAUCGGUACACCCUGCUGGCUGUACCGGUACAGCAAGCAGAGAAACCUGCUAUUUGCAGAUUCUCUUGCUAAAUGCUGCUUUCGCGUCGCAUAGAGUCCGUUUUGCGUCUAUUUCACGCCAACGCGACUCAGACUUGCCCUGAUACUCUCCAGAGCUGUCGACAAGCCUUAACAGCAGAACACCAGGGAUCUUACAUGUUUGGUUUGGGGAUAAGUAAAAAGUAGCUAUUCCAGGGAUAUGUAUAAAUUGAGGUAUAAGCGGGGAUUAGAUCAAUUUUGCAUUUGAAUAAAAAUUGGGUUAUUCUUGGAAAUAAGAAAAAAUAGCGUUUGGUUAGAUAAGAUGGAAUAAGAAGAAUAGUAGGUNAUU
rnacentral:lncRNA from 1 species